AGGAUCAACGCUGGCGGCGUGCCUAACGCAUGUAAGUCGAACGCAUUGCCUUCGGGUAAUGAGUGGCGAACGGCUGAGGAACACGUACGAACCUGCCUGUUCGUGGGGAAUAACGCGCCGAAAGGUGUGCUAAUACCGCGUACGCUCACCUUGGUGAGGAAAGCCUUCGGGCGCGGACAGCGGGGCGUGCGGCCCAUCAGGUCGUUGGUGGGGUAAUGGCCUACCAAGCCUUUGACGGGUAGCUGGUCUGUGAGGACGAUCAGCCAGACUGGGACUGCGACACGGCCCAGACACCUACGGGUGGCAGCAGCGAGGAAUCUUCCACAAUGGGCGAAAGCCCGAUGGAGCAACGCCGCGUGGAGGAUGACGGCUUUCGGGUUGUAAACUCCUUUCGGGAGGGAUGAUACGGACAGUACCUCCAAAAGAAGCCCCGGCUAACUCUGCGCCAGCAGCCGC
rnacentral:rRNA from 1 species